UUUGGUCCGCUGCUUGACUUACUGACCCUUUUCAGCCCCUCAGCUGCUUUAUUGCUGAAGUCUCAUCGUUCCCACCAACAAUAACAGCUUUGUUCAUUUUAACAAGAACAUAUGACUCUAAAACUCCUUACUCGGGCCAGUGGCGCAAUGGAUAACGCGUCUGACUACGGAUCAGAAGAUUCUAGGUUCGACUCCUGGCUGGCUCGAAACUUUUGACUGAAAAAUGUUCCAGCCAUCUAGCACUAAGAACCGAAACGGAAACUCACUGAAACAAGCGAUCAUUAUUAUACACAGGCUGAGAGAUCUGACUGCGGACAACAAGAUUGGCGGUUCGACUCCAGCUUAGGGCUGUACCCCAUCGAACUGUUUCAUAAUUUGGUCCCGCACAUUGGCCUGACUGCAACAAAAAGGUGAAGGCACCUGCAUAAGGUUAGGCUGGUUUUGCGUAUGGCGAUAUGGGAGAUUCUGAAGCAGGGAAUCACCAGACGCACCCACGCCAGGACCUGGGGAGCUUCCUGCGGCUAUUCUCAAAAGGACCAACUCUGCAUUCUGGCAAUUUAACUGAGCCUCACCUUUUCAUCCUGCCAC